AACAUUAGGUUAAUGUAGUGAAUAUUUUUCUUAGAUUGGGUGGAAGAAGUCCAAAUGUGUCAAAAAUCCUCAUUUUCCUUCCUAGAGCUGCCGCCACCACCCAGCUCAAAAUAGCAAUCCAAGCUUCCAAUUCCUUCCCUCUACACUCCGGCAAAAACCAAGUCAGUAUUACCAUCCACCCACCAGUUGAAACAACCAGAAACACCCAAAAAAAAAAAACCAAAACCCCAACAGACCCAACUAUUUUUCUUCUUCCUUCGAACAGCAAAGCCAAAACCCUUUUCCCUUCCUCUCCACUACCAGACCCCAAAACCUCCUUUUGUUUUUCUAUUUUUCGACGAACCAGUCCUUUCCCUUCCCUUUUUAAGAUUUUGUUCAUUUUCACAGGUGUUCCCAGUCAAGCUCCAACCAGCUAGCAACAAUCAGACCCACGAAUAAGUCCUCAACAGCACAACCGGAUCCAUCGGACCUCGAACCACCAAGCCACUAGCGCAACAAACCCGUGAACAACCGCGCACCACUAUAUUUUCGGCGAGGUUGGAGGCAAGUUGAAGAUUUGAAGGCAAGCUUGGGAAUGGACUCUCUCAAGUCUAAAUAUGUCCUCAUAUAUUCGAUGACAUAGUCUUUACUUGUUCCUUAAAGACUUAUUAUGUAUUUUGUUUCAAUGUAAACGGUCGUGUCCUUAAGAUACUUAAGUCGCGUCUUUAACAUGGCUUGUGACCUCGUGAAAAGUUUUAAUUUCACAUUA